rnacentral:rRNA from 1 species
UACGAAGGGAGCUAGCGUUGUUCGGAAUCACUGGGCGUAAAGCGCACGUAGGCGGACCUGCAAGUCGGGGGUGAAAGCCCGAGGCUCAACCUCGGAACUGCCUUCGAUACUGCGGGUCUCGAGUCCGGGAGAGGUGAGUGGAAUUCCUAGUGUAGAGGUGAAAUUCGUAGAUAUUAGGAAGAACACCGGUGGCGAAGGCGGCCCACUGGAUCGGUACUGACGCUGAGGUGCGAAAGCGUGGGGAGCAAACAGG